AUACGGAGGAUGCAAGUGUUAUCCGGAUUUAUUGGGUUUAAAGGGUGCGUAGGCGGAUGAUUAAGCGUGAGGUGAAAUGCCACUGCUCAACAGUGGAACUGCCUCGCGAACUGGUUGUCUUGAAUGCUCCUGCCGUGGGAGGAAUGUGUGGUGUAGCGGUGAAAUGCAUAGAGAUUACACAGAACACCGAUUGCGAAGGCAUCUCACGAAGGGUUGAUUGACGCUGAGGCACGGAAGCGUGGGGAUCAAACAGGAUUAGAUACCCUGGUAGUCCACGCAGUAAACGAUGAUGGCUAACCGCUGGUUUAUUCGGAUCAGUGGCCAAGCGAAAGCGAUAAGCCAUCCACCUGGGGAGUACGACCGCAAGGUUGAAACUCAAAUGAAUUGGCGGGG
rnacentral:rRNA from 1 species